rnacentral:snRNA from 1 species
AUGUUCCCUUUGGCAGCACAUAUACUAAAAAACUGGAACAAUACAGAGAUUAGCAUGAGCCCUGUACAGGGACCACAAGCGAAUUCAUGUAGUGUUCCAUUUAAAA